CCGAAUGGCCCUUGGGCCGUCGACCCUUCAAAACCGUGGAAGACAGAAGAUUGUGCUUCGACGCUCCGGCGUCGUGUUUAUGCAGUGCAGAGUCCGUCGUCUGAACCAGAAAUAAAGGAUUA
rnacentral:misc_RNA from 1 species